GACGAACGCUGGCGGCGUGCUUAACACAUGCAAGUCGAACGGAAAGGCCCUGCUUUUGUGGGGUGCUCGAGUGGCGAACGGGUGAGUAACACGUGAGUAACCUGCCCUUGACUUUGGGAUAACUUCAGGAAACUGGGGCUAAUACCGGAUAGGAGCUCCUGCUGCAUGGUGGGGGUUGGAAAGUUUCGGCGGUUGGGGAUGGACUCGCGGCUUAUCAGCUUGUUGGUGGGGUAGUGGCUUACCAAGGCCUUGACGGGUAGCCGGCCUGCGAGGGUGACCGGCCACAUUGGAACGGAGAUGCGGCCCAGACUCCUACGGGAGGCAGCAGUGGGGAAUAUUGCACAAUGGGCGGAAGCCUAAUGCAGCAAAGCCGCGUGCGGGAUGACGGCCUUCGGGUUGUAAACCGCUUUCGCCUGUGACGAAGCGUGAAUGACGGUAAUGGGUAAAGAAGCACCGGCUAACUACGUG
rnacentral:rRNA from 1 species